rnacentral:lncRNA from 1 species
AAAGAAAUGAAGUCCUCAUAUGUGCUACUAUAUGGAUAAACCUUGAAAAAUAUGCUAAAUAAAAUGUCAUGUAUGUAUUAUUCCAUUUAUAUGAAAUAUCCAAAAUAGACAAAUUCAUAUAUAGAGAGAAAGCAGAUUGUUACCUCCUUGGAGGUGGUAGUCGGGGGGAAGUGUUAACUGGCAGAAUUUCCUUUUGGUUGAUGAAAAUGUUCUAGAACUGGUAAGUUCUAGUUGGUAACAGUUGCACAACAUUGUGAAUGUACUAAAUUCCACUAAAUCAUGCACUUAAAGAUAAUUAAAAAGGGGACUAGGAAUGUUGCUCAGUGGUAAAGUGCUUGCCUAGCUAUGCCCAAGGCUCUGAGUUGGAGUCUCAGCAGUGAAAAAUUAAAUAAUUAAAUUGUUAAAAUGGUGAAUUUUAUGUUACGUAACUUUGUUUAGUCUGUUUGGGCUGCUAUGACAAAAUAUCAUAAAUCAGAUAAUUUAGAUACAACAGAAGUUUAUUCCUUACAACCCUGGAGGCUGGAUUAAGAUUAAAGUGUCAGUGUCUGGUGACGACAUGCCUCCUCCCAGUUCCUUCUUGCUCUGUUUUCAUGUAAUCAUAUAUGCUCUGUGGUCUCUUUUAAAAGGCUCUAAAUCUAUUCAUGAAACCUCAUCACCUACCAAAGACCCCACCUCUUAAUAUCAUGACUUUGGGAAGUAGGAUUUCAACAUGAAUUUGGAGGGGACAGAAACAUCCAGACCAUAGCAGAAUUUUACCUCAAAUUUCAAACAGGGUGAGAGAUGCGGAUAUGGCUCAGGUAGAACACUUGCCUAAUAUGCACAAGCCCUGGCUUCUAUUCUUAGCACUGUAAAACAAAAC